GUGGAGAUCAGUUUCAAAAGAAUUUGGUGCACAUUUGCGUUUGUAUUUUGGUAUCCCAAAUUUGAAGUUUGUAUUUGAUUUGGAAGUUUGCUAAUUUCUCGCCGAGGUGGAGAUUGUUGGGUUUUUACGGCUUAAAAUUAGGAUGAUGCAAAGAAUUAGGUUUGUGUUACCUAUUUGGUUUUGGUGUCCUAUUUGGGUUUGGAUUUUGACUUCUUAGUUAGUUUCCUUGGUGGAGAGAUUUUGUUAAUUACCUAUUUGAUUAGGAUUUGGAUUUACUUCCUAUUAGGAUUCUUAUUGUAACCUA
rnacentral:lncRNA from 1 species